CUCCGGUUGAUCCUGCCGGACCUGACUGCUAUCGGAUUGGUACUAAGCCAUGCGAGUCAUUGUAGCAAUACAAGGCGGACGGCUCAGUAACACGUAGUCAACCUAACUCGUGGACGUGGAUAACCUCGGGAAACUGAGAAUAAACCACGAUAGAUCAUAGUGCCUGGAAUGGCUUAUGGUCCAAACAGUUUACUGCCAUGGGAUGGGACUGCGGCCUAUCAGCUUGUUGGUGAGGUAAUGGCCCACCAAGGCGAUUACAGGUACGGGCUCUGAGAGGAGAAGCCCGGAGAUGGGUACUGAGACACGGACCCAGGCCCUAUGGGGCGCAGCAGGCGAGAAACCUUAGCAAUGUGCGAAAGCACGACUGGGUCAGUCCGAGUGAUUCCUGAUAAAGGAGUCUUUUGCUUGUCCUAAAAGCACAGGUGAAUAAGGGGUGGGCAAGUCUGGUGUCAGCCGCCGCGGUAAUACCAGCACCUCGAGUGGUCAGGACGUUUAUUGGGCCUAAAGCAUCCGUAGCCGGCUUUGCAAGUCUUCGGUUAAAUCCACCUGCUCAACAGAUGGGCUGCUGGAGAUACUACAAAGCUAGGGAGUGGGAGAGGCAGACGGUAUUCAGUGGGUAGGGGUAAAAUCCUCUGAUCCAUUGAAGACCACCAGUGGCGAAGGCGGCUUGCCAGAACGCGCUCGACGGUGAGGGAUGAAAGCUGGGGGAGCAAACCGGAUUAGAUACCCGGGUAGUCCCAGCUGUAAACGAUGCAGACUCGGUGAUGAGUUGGCUUAUUGCUAACUCAGUGCCGCAGGGAAGCCGUUAAGUUUGCCGCCUGGGGAGUACGGUCGCAAGACUGAAACUUAAAGGAUUGGCGGGGGAGCA
rnacentral:rRNA from 1 species